rnacentral:rRNA from 1 species
GACGAACGCUGGCGGCGUGCUUAACACAUGCAAGUCGAACGAUGAAGAAAAGAAUCGAAGCUUCGGCAGAAAUUCAUUUCGGAUUAGUGGCAGACGGGUGAGUAACGCGUGAGCAACCUACCUCUUACAAAGGGAUAGCCUCGGGAAACCGGGAUUAAUACCAUAUAACAUUGCGACGAAGCAUUUCGAUGCAAUCAAAGCUACGGCGGUAAGAGAUGGGCUCGCGUCCCAUUAACCGGAUGGUGAGGUAACGGCUCACCAUAGUGACGAUGGGUAACCGGGCGGGGAGGGGGAACGGUCACACUGGAACUGAGACACGGUCCAGACUCCGACGGGAGGGAGGAGUGGGGAAUAUUGCACAAGGGAGGGAACUCUGAUGCAGCGACGCCGCGUGAGUGAUGAAGGAAUUCGUUUCGUAAAACUCUGUUCUAUGGGAAGAAAAGGACUGUACCAGAGGAGAAAGCUCCGGCUAAAUACGUG